rnacentral:rRNA from 1 species
AGAGUACGUGAAACCGUUCAGGGGUAAACCUGAGAAACCCGAAAGGUCGAAAGGGGAAAUUCAUUCGCGUUUCGGCCGUCGGCGUCGGAUGGUCGAGUGACGGACGGCGUACGCGUCGUCCGCGCCUUCCUUCCGUCGAACCUUCGUCGAACGCGUGCACUUUUCCCCUAGUAGGACGUCGCGAUCCAUUGGGUGUCGGUCUAAGGUCCGCGGUGGAGUCCGUGUGUACGCUUCGCGGCGUACGCUCGAACCCGCGGUGUCCCGGCCGACUCGCUCGAUGGUAUACAGAUGGCGCGGGGCCGCUACUCAGUUAGCGUUCGGCCUGCGGCAAGCGCGUUCGGCGUUUGACGGCGAUCGGACCCGGUGCCGGUCCUGUCCCCGAACGACUGUUGGCCGUGGUGUUCUCGAACAGACCUCKUUUGAAACGCCUAUCUGCGACGCUAUAGCUUUGGGUACUUUCAGGACCCGUCUUGAAACACGGACCAAGGAGUCUAGCAUGUGCGCGAGUCAUUGGGAAAUAACUAAACCUAAAGGCGCAAUGAAAGUGAAGGUCCGCCUUGCGCGGACCGAGGGAAGAUGGGCGGUUCGCCUCAAAGCGGCCGCCCCGCACUCCCGGGGCGUCUCGUUCUCAUCGCGAGAAGA